CCUGUGGCACCAGAGCCCCUGAUAGGUCUCAGUUUGCAGACCAGGACGCGACACGGUGAUGGGAGCUGAGCAAGCUCUAGAGGCAGAAAGAGGAGCCAAACAGGACACACGCAGUGGUGCUAAUGAUGCAUUAAAAACCUAUGGCUUCCCAGCAGAGGAGUUUUCUGACGCAGGCUGGCAGGUUCACAGAGAGACCCUCACUGCAACUGGCUUUGCAUUAACCUGUUUGCAUCAAGAAUUAUGACUUUUGAGGCCUCGUUUCACCUUUGCAACCAAUAGCAGAUGUUUGUACGUGACGUCAGACUCUAUUAAAUUUAAAGUGCACCAGGAGGAGAGACUGUGGCUUUUUGACCUGGACCUUGGAGACAGUCAGGCGCGAUUCCAACAGGGAGGGGCAGAUAGUGCUCCUGGCGGAGGGAAGGUGAGGCCACAAGAGUGUGUUUAGGCAGCACACACAGUUCCUGUGGUUGGUGGGGAAGCACUGGGAACGGACGGGGGGGCAGGCAGGUCCCCGAGAGCCAGGCCGCGGGGUUAGGAGCUCUGGCUUAUCUUUGGUAACGAGAGGCCCUUUGGAAGAGAGGAUAACUCAGGUCAAGAUGAAAAUGGGACUGAGGUGUCAGGGGCGAUGGCAGCAGAUGAUGAGUCCAGGGACAGAAAUACGGAGACCGCACAGCACAGCAGUGGGGGCGAUGGCCUGGCCGAUCUGAGCCCCCCAUGGUGCCUGAGAGACUUAGCUCUCGGCUGGAAACAUGGGGUUGACAGUUUGGGGAAUCAGGAUGAAAAUGGAGGGCAUAGGCUGGAGAUAGAGAAGCCUUAG